GCGGCUUGCCGAGCAUUCGGCACCCGGCUAAAUCGACCAUCACGCAUCGGUAACGGGAAUGCGGUGCGCCCCUUAUUGGGCAAUUCCGCAGCUGUCCCUGCAACUGUAAGCGGCGAGCUUUUCGCGCGCGCUUCCUCUUCUGGAAGCAACCACUGAGCGGACAACGCUUGGGAAGGUGUGCGACAAGCAGCGACCCGCAAGCCAGGAGACCGACCGGAGCGUGUCGCUUGUU
rnacentral:ncRNA from 2 species